AUGUGUUCUUUUUACCACUCAUUACCUACUAGCUUUAUCUCAAAAAGUAGCUGGUCAAUUAUGCACAUGUUUGCGAAUUUGUAUACAUGCCGAUUAGAGAAACAACAAAAUUACACCAAAAAUGCCACUUUUCACUAUGAAAAAAGCUCCAUUUUUACAUGUCGAAGUCUUCACAUGUACUUACAGAAAAACAACUCUAAAAAAGCUCCAUUUUCUCAUGGCAGUAGCACAACAUCAUCUCUUACAGACAUACAAGAACAGUUUGUAGGCAAACUUUUGUACCCUGUUGAACACAAUGUAAGUGAAGCAAAAAAAUUCACCUAA
rnacentral:rRNA from 1 species